GUAGCAAACACGAACCCGGGGAGGAGGAGAGCAGCAGAAGCGCACGCACUCGUACAGGGAACAGAAGGGGAGCAGCAGAGGCAGGGGGACCUGGGGAGAGCGGGAGACCGUCGAAGGAGUGGCUACGUUUGGCGACGCACGGGUGCCUGCAUGUCACCACUGAAACCGAGCCUCGAGUGAGCAGAUAAGAAGGGGCACGAGGGAACCGGUGGAGACGGGGGCACUCGAGAAGGGACACAGAGGGGCAGCGGAAGGGGGCUCGAGUACGUACUCGUGUGCGCAGGCACCGCGGCAGGUGCGCAGGUGCCGCUGCUGUCGAGCCGGAGGAGCCGGUGCCGAUAUUCAUCGGGAGGGGCACGAGCAAACUCGAGAAGGUCGGAAGGGUGCGAGGGACCUGGGGCUGGUCGACAGGGCAACUCGAGGUCCUCGAGUACAAGGAGGAGGUACCGGCGGUACCGGCGGCGCCGAAGCCGGAUUUAACCGGGGUACGGCUCGAGGAGGAGGUGGAGAUCGGUGAGGUGGUGGAAGGGGUGAGAGGCCGCCAGGAGAGGUAGGGGAGACGAGCAGCAGCCUGGGAGGCUCCGGUGCUUAGGGGGCAGUCCGGCGGCGGAGAGGCAAAGAGACAACGGCACUCGGGGCGGAAGGGGUGAGGAAGAACCGCACCCUACACGGAGACCUACCCGCACUGCACCUGCGGGCUCGGAAGGUCACCGGAGGCGGACCGGCCUCGACCGGUUCCGUCCGACCGGGUAGCGGCCGUCGUGGGAGAGGACGGGGGAGGAGACAAAGGUAGCCCCCGUCCCUCUCCUCCUUCUUCUACUCCGGUCCACCCGGGACGCUGAAGGAGCCGAGGUGGUCAGUCGGUGUGCCGCAAUUGGGGAGGGCCAUGUCGCAUCUAUUCACUGCCCGGGGGUGGUGGGUACCCUGGGUGUGCAAUCACAGUGUGCUCGGCCGGGGCGCGAAUGGAUCUACCUAUUCACCUUUGCGUAAACAACCUUAUGCAUAAGUAAGUCCCUUUCGCAUGAAAUCAGGAUCAAGCCAACCUUUACGCAAAACGAAAGCCCUUUCGCAUAAAAGUGAAGUGAUGCCGACCUUUAUGCAGAAUAGACGAUUCUUCCGCAUAAGUUGAUUUACACGAAAGACAAAAAGUCGAGUCCCCGGACAAACGUCUUUAUAAAAAUAUCUAACCAGGGACCUGAAGCAGUCCGAUAUUGAAAAACGAACGUUGAGGUUUUCUCGGGGGAGAUCCUCUAUUGAUAAAGACCGUUUAGAAAGGUGCCGAAGUGGCGUCAAGAGGGGCCACGGAAGAAGUAGGGGUCCGUUCGGUGUUGUUGGUGAACGUACUAUCAGUACGUCAUCGAUACCAAAAGUUGAACUUACUAUUUACAAACGAACAAAGCUAUACCAAUAGCAACAAAGCCACUACGAAUCUCUACACACAAGUGAAAGUACGAUACGAGAAGAAGUAGAACAAUAGAACGUGAAUAAUGAUCAUAAUAACAAUAUACAGUACGAACCAUCAUGACCGUCACACAAGAAAGUUUACGUACAAAUGCUAGAAAAUAGAUCACGGCAUCGAUACGUACAAUGAAACAUAGAUCAACCAAUAUACGAAGGAACCAUCAAAAGACUUACUCAAGAACGUACCAUAAAUAAAUACUACGAUCACUAGUACCGUACAAGUACACAUUACAAUACGAGCAGUCAAACGGUACGAGUAAACCAAUUACAAAGUAAUACCAAUACGAGCUACUAAUACAACAUGAAGGGAUGAAUACAACUAGGCACGAGUACGUAACAUCAACGUAGUACAAUAAAAUUAUACCGAAUCGAAUAACGUAAGUUCAAAUUGGCCUGAAUUAACUUGAACUUGUUGACAACCGACUCAGUACCCGGGUGGUAUAGCUCGACUGGUCACGUUGGUGUGAACGGAAAUACCCUCCCAGGAUUGACCCAGAUAACAGCACGGAGAUCGGCCACGGAGGGUGCUCCCUUCCAAAACCCGUGCGCGAUGGGACUAGUCCAUCCGCCUGUAUUCGGGACACGGGUAUCAACAAUAUCUGCCGAACAGGGGCAAACCCUGGUAAAAACAAAACGGUGCUACCACCGGCAAAACGGUGCUACCACCGGCAACCACGGAAACCAUCCGUGCCCCGGUGGGUACUGAAUCGGAUCACCCCUCACUCAGCCUCACCGGUUUUUUUACAGUACCGUCAUCCUGCCAAAACAGCCUUACAGCAACCAGGUGGGCUUACCCUCGCGCUCCGGUACCCAAGGCACCAGACCCAUGUCACGCGAUGGAGACGUCUCACAUAUGAUUUAGAUAGCUAUUGGCGUGGGCGCCUAUUCCCGGGUCAAGCAUCAACCAGUGUGAUACCCAGUUGUCAUUAUUAUUAUUAUUACACGAAUUAUUGUUGGGUUCAAGUUACUACUCUAUUCAACCUAUACACUAGGCACUAACUAAUAGCAACCCAAUGCUCCGUCGGGCAACUUGGUUCACACCAAGCCACUUACUAGUGACACCGCAGCUCCUAUGGCUCAACAACCUAUAAACACGCUCUUAGCACCCAUUUCUAGUUCGAGGAACACCAGUACAUUACUAAUGAUACCAUAACAAAUAUCGUUCGAACAAAACUAGGACUCUACUAGCACACUACAGGCUCCAACCAUUCACUACGUACACUACCAAUGCUCCAUUGGGCUUGUCUCAUUCAACCACGUACUAUCACAGUAGUACAACGUACGAUCAUAGGAAUCUAAGUAUACAAGAACUGUACUAGUACAAUACGAUCAACAUAGUACAAGUACAACAAGUACGGUACAACGAUACUACUAUAGUACAAUUAAAUACGCAUUGGACAUUAACGGUACAACAACAAACAGAACUUACGAAGACCAAUAACACUCGAACGUUCAUGUAAGUUACAUGAUUGGACCGCACAGUACGGUCAAACGUCCAGUACGGCCUGAACUAACGAACAAACGGCACCUAAGGAACAAACGCUCGAUCCUAUUCGCAAGGUCAGUCUCAGGGAUGCCUCACCUCAAGUGGUGGCAGCGGCAAUAAGGUGAUGAUCUCAAUAAGGCGACGAAGCUCAACAAAACGACGAACGUAUCUCAUUGUCACCGUCCGCAUCACAGCGGUACGGCUACAUUAAGGGAUAAUACAGCCUUGGGAACAUGGGUUUAUCUAACAUUAUUUCUCGACCAAACGAUUCGUCACAGCAUAAGGUCUGCUGAAGAGGAACUAGAGACCCGACCUUAUGCCCCGUAUGGUCAAAAGAGACUCGCCCCCACGGUGUCGGUCCGUUAACAAAGUAUGAAAUCCACAAGAGUUUGAAAAAGUUGAAAGUACGUUAUGUACUCGCAUUCGCUACCUGUAUCGUGAUAUCCACCUGAUCUUAUACCACCAACACCUCUUCUAUUUUUCUCCCUCUAUCAGAGUGUAGUUGAUCCGCAUAGAUAUCCGAUGCCUCUACGGGUAGUUAUCUAUAGUUACACUCACUUAUCCCUUAAGGUACGUUGCUUACGUGAUCUCGAUAUUCAAAUACUUUCGAGUUUUCCUUUGAUUCACCCACACGUAGGUUGAGCGAACGAGUGCUUCUGGAUCCCCUUGAACUCCUUCGGGUACUAUGCAGAGGUUGCAUAGAUAUUAAAAACUAACAAGGUAUGACAAUAUAAUAGUGAGAACCUACAAAAUGUUAGUAAAAUAUCAGUAAAAUAUAGUAAAAAACCAUGAUUGCAUAACUGUAUCACGGAUCACGGUCAACGACAAAAGACGUACAAAAAAUGUAACGUCCUUUAGUCAUAGUUUGCCUCAGGUUUACGUUGCGUUGAGGACCUCCUAAAAAAACCGGUCUUCUUUCGGUUACCCGGUUCGUUCGUGGAGUCCCCGACGAGCUCCCCUCGUCGUGGGUGGUCCCGCACGGUCCUCCGGGUCCGCGCGGAACCCCCCAACACGGGUGGUGCCCACGGGGGACUUGGCGGAGAAACGAGAUAUUUAUGGGUUUAUAAGGACUUUGGGAUUCCCUCAGCUGCUUUAUAACUAGGUCGGCGGCGUCUCAGGUCUUGGUGGUCUAGG
rnacentral:rRNA from 1 species